UGGGGAAUAUUGCACAAUGGGCGCAAGCCUGAUGCAGCCAUGCCGCGUGUAUGAAGAAGGCCUUCGGGUUGUAAAGUACUUUCAGCGGGGAGGAAGGUGUUGUGGUUAAUAACCACAGCAAUUGACGUUACCCGCAGAAGAAGCACCGGCUAACUCCGUGCCAGCAGCCGCGGUAAUACGGAGGGUGCAAGCGUUAAUCGGAAUUACUGGGCGUAAAGCGCACGCAGGCGGUCUGUCAAGUCGGAUGUGAAAUCCCCGGGCUCAACCUGGGAACUGCAUCCGAAACUGGCAGGCUUGAGUCUUGUAGAGGGGGGUAGAAUUCCAGGUGUAGCGGUGAAAUGCGUAGAGAUCUGGAGGAAUACCGGUGGCGAAGGCGGC
rnacentral:rRNA from 1 species